CCUCCAGAUGUUGCUGAACUGCAACUCCCAUCAGCCCCAGCAAGCAUGACUUGGGAUUAUGGGAGUUGUAGUUCAGCAUCAUCUGGAGGGC